GGCUCAAUGGUCUAGUGGUAUGAUUCGUGCUUCGGGGUUUUCUUGAACACCCCAACUCCUGCCAAAAACAGAAGAGUUUCAAAGAAUGUGCGAGGUCUCGGGUUCGAUCCCCGAUUGAGCCC